GUCCAGCACGAGGUUCAGCUCACAUGAUGGCACUGGAUUCCUACGUGGGGAAUAUAGGUUCCGUAUUCCUUUCCAAAAUCUCUUGACAAAUAAGUGGGGAAAAAUGGAAUACCCGUGUAUGGGUGUGUGAAUCACUGAUAUAGCUGCUAAAUGUAUAUUGAUGGAAUUAACUGAUAAUACUGUGUUCUGCAGGAUAUAUUCCAGUCAGGAUAUCACCCCAUCUUUGUGUGGCUCCUGCGUGUGAGCCGAAUUCCAUGCUGCAUACCUAGCUCGCUUCUGCAGGUAUGCAGCUACCGUGGAUAAUACUUUGGAAAAGACUCUAGGUGGUAUGGACAGCCCAAAGGGGAGCAUCCUGUACUGAUAUUUUAAGUCCUUGAUAGUGAACCUGAGGAAUCAUCUGUGAGCUGGGUGAAUAGAUACAUGAAAAUAUGCAUCCUUCAGGUCGAGGGUAGCUAAUCAUCUCCUUUCUCUAAGGCAGGUGGCUAUAUUCCUGGUGGCUAUAUUCCUAAUGUGCGGAACUUUGCCGUGGAGUCCUUCAGUGCGUGGAGAGCUGAGUUUGAUGACUCUGGAAAUAGUUUCUCACCCUCAAAUGGCUGAUUCUCAAUGUUUGAUUGAACCUCCCUGGGGAAUCCCAACAGCUGCAGUCUGACAUCCAUCUCAUCACUACUGCCAAUGGCAUCAACCUGGCCGCUGUGUCUGCUGCAUCUAAUGCUGCCUGUAGAGCUGUUGAGAGAUUAAUGAUCGAUCCUUCUCUGAUAUUUGAUUUGAACUGCUCCCUUACAUCCUCAGGCGCCGAUGCAGGAGUUUUCCAGAUGGACUUGGCAGGAUCUAUCAAGUCUUCAUUCAUUGGUAAAGCCAGCCUGGUAUGUUGAGGUAAGCUGAGUGUGCUCGUGAGUUUGUGUUUGUUCUGUGUUACGUCGGAGAUUUUUUUUUAUGGCAAGUGUGUCUGCUACUCUCCUGAGUAAAUCUUGGAACCCUCUGGAGUCAACCCCUCUGACUGGUAAUGCAGGGAGACUGUGUUCCUCCAUCAUGGAAUAGGAAGUAUUGGGCUGAACAGAGGAAGCCUGUGUUUCCUCCUCCAUAGAUGACUCGGUCCCAGUCAGCUCAUUUUCAGCUGUGUCCCAGGAUAGUGUGUUGGGUCCAGUAAGAUGCACAGGAGUCUGAAUAGGCCCACUGUGGAGGAAUCGAUGGAGAAAUCCACUGUGUCCACUGCCAUUUCUGCAUUUGGUGUUGUUGUGGUUCUGCAUAUGGAGGACUCUGUGCUGGCCCUUUCCUCCCUGUCAUCACUAAAUCUGGUGGAUAUUUGUGAUGCUGGUGUCAAGGAGAACAGGGAACAUUUGGACUGUGGCGUGCUGUUGGUAACAAAUAGUGGUGAACAUGGUACUGAUGCUACUAUGAGGUCGACCUCUUAUGAACCUCGGUACCAGAGUACGUGGAGGCAUUGCUAUGUAUUUCCUUAUAGCUGCCUGCGUCUCUACUGUUGGCGCUUUGAAAUGUGCCAGUACUGGCGGUACCAAGCAUUUAUUCAAAUGCAGCAUUCUACUGCUCUUCAGCUUGCCAACUUGUUUGUUCCUCAGCAGAACCAUGUUCUCCACUGGUGCCACAUUACUGUGGGGAGAGCUUGAAGCAUGGCCUGCAGCUCCAUGCUUCAUAUUGGGUCAUGGCUUUUCUUUAAGCUGGAUCCCCUGUCCUGCUUUUGGGAGCUCUGCCUACUGGCAUUCUUACCAGCCUCCUUUGUCUUUGUUAGAGGCUGAGGCACAGCAGGGUAUUGGGAGUAUUUUGUGCUCCACUCUGGGUGCUGUCCUCUAGCACAUUCCUACUAGGGAAUGCUCCUCCUUCCCAAGAGGGUUCCCCCCUGGGAGAGUGGGACGGAGGGGUGAAUGAGGCUGUGACUCAGCCAUGUUGUGGUCCAAGAAUAAUAGCCUUCUUUGUAGGUCUCGCUUCCUUAGAGCAUGGGGUGAGCUUUUGACAGUGUGGGCAGUGACUGAUGGGAUAGUCUUGCCCUAGGCAGCACAGACACUGCUUGUGUCCGUCUGCUGCUGUGACUGCUGUUCUGCACCCUGUGCACCUUGUAAAGCCCAGUGGUGCGGGCAUGACUUUUUUUCUUCUUGUGCUAUCCUAUGGGCCAGCGGGAUGUGGCAGAAACACCUGCGUGGCACUUGGCCCACUUCUCUUGCUGUUAUCCUUUUCCUUUUUUUAAAUCUUCUCUCUUCUCCACCCUUCCCCCCCCGAUGCUGUUAGGGAGACUAAGUGCAACUGAUGCCCGCGGUGGUUGAGAAGGAACUGAGGGAGGCUGCUGGCGUGUCUGUCAAUCUGAGUGAUUGUGCAAUAGCACAGCACACGCCAGCAGCUGGGGGACUGCUAACAAAGAUCUCUGGGCCGUGUGCACAGCAGUGCUGACACACGUAAGUGGAGCACCAACAGUGAUCCCCAAACAUAAGAAUACAGUCAAAUUGUCAAACCUUCCCACAGUAGGUCAGCGCCAUUUUUCAGAGAUACAGCAUCUUCCACCAUAUUUUCUUUUCCCUUUAUAUGCACAAUUUCUAUAUUAGUUCUUUUUCUGCUACAAUCUAUUUUAAGUUUUGUAUAAGCUAUUAUAAAGAAUAAUAUUGUAAUAAUUUAAGUACUUUGUGUUUUAUGAUUAUGUUUCA